CCUACGGGUGGCAGCAGUGAGGAAUAUUGGGCAAUGGGGGCAACCCUGACCCAGCCAUGCCGCGUGAGUGAAGAAGGUCUUCGGAUUGUAAAGCUCUUUCGGACGUGACGAUGAUGACGGUAGCGUCUAAAGAAGCACCGGCAAACUUCGUGCCAGCAGCCGCGGUAAUACGAAGUGUGCGAGCGUUGUUCGGAAUUACUGGGUUUAACGUGUGCGUAGGCGGAGUGUCAAGUCAGCGGUAAAAUUUCGGGGCUCAACCCCGUCGUGCCGUUGAAACUGACGCCCUUGAGUGAGUGAGAAGUAAGCGGAAUGCGUGGUGUAGCGGUGAAAUGCAUAGAUAUCACGCAGAACGCCGAUUGCGAAGGCAGCUUACCGGCGCUCAACUGACGCUGAGGCACGAAAGUGCGGGUAUCGAACAGGAUUAGAUACCCCAGUAGUC
rnacentral:rRNA from 1 species